CGUAGGGUGCGAGCGUUAAUCGGAAUUACUGGGCGUAAAGCGUGCGCAGGCGGUUUUGUAAGACAGGCGUGAAAUCCCCGGGCUCAACCUGGGAACUGCGCUUGUGACUGCAAGGCUAGAGUACGGCAGAGGGGGGUGGAAUUCCACGUGUAGCAGUGAAAUGCGUAGAGAUGUGGAGGAACACCAAUGGCGAAGGCAGCCCCCUGGGUCGAUACUGACGCUCAUGCACGAAAGCGUGGGUAGCAAACAGGAUUAGAUACCCUGGUAGUCCACGCCCUAAACGAUGUCAACUAGGUGUUGGGUGGGUAGAACCAUUUAGUACCGGAGCUAACGCGUGAAGUUGACCGCCUGGGGAGUACGGCCGCAAGGUUA
rnacentral:rRNA from 1 species